AUGAACGCUGGCGGCGUGCCUAACACAUGCAAGUCGAACGGAGAUUUAACGCUGAUGAAGCUUCGGCAGAAUCUUGUUAAAUCUUAGUGGCGGACGGGUGAGUAACGCGUGGGCAACCUGCCUCAUACUGGGGGAUAGCAGUUGGAAACGACUGAUAAUACCGCAUAAGCGCACGGAGUCGCAUGACCCUGUGUGAAAAACUCCGGUGGUAUGAGAUGGGCCCGCGUCAGAUUAGCUAGUUGGUAAGGUAACGGCUUACCAAGGCGACGAUCUGUAGCCGGACUGAGAGGUCGGACGGCCACAUUGGGACUGAGACACGGCCCAAACUCCUACGGGAGGCAGCAGUGGGGGAUAUUGCACAAUGGAGGAAACUCUGAUGCAGCGACGCCGCGUGAGUGAAGAAGUAUUUCGGUAUGUAAAGCUCUAUCAGCAGGGAAGAAAGGCUCUAAGGAGAGAUGACGGUACCUGACUAAGAAGCCCCGGCUAACUACGUGCCAGCAGCGGC
rnacentral:rRNA from 1 species